rnacentral:rRNA from 1 species
UACGUAGGUGGCAAGCGUUGUUCGGAAUUAUUGGGCGUAAAGAGCUCGUAGGCGGUGUGUCACGUCGGCCGUGAAAAACCUGCAGCUUAACUGUGGGCGUGCGGUCGAUACGGGCAUCACUGGAGUUCGGCAGGGGAGACUGGAAUUCCUGGUGUAGCGGUGAAAUGCGCAGAUAUCAGGAGGAACACCGGUGGCGAAGGCGGGUCUCUGGGCCGAUACUGACGCUGAGGAGCGAAAGCGUGGGGGAGCAAACAGG